rnacentral:tRNA from 1 species
GCGCCUGUAGCUCAGUCUGGAUAGAGCAUCGGAUUUCUAAUCCGACGGUCGCAGGUUCGAAUCCUGCCGGGCGCGCCA